rnacentral:piRNA from 1 species
UUUUUUUGAAUUUAAUAUUGC